AAGCAGUUAGUCUAAAUAAAACAUUUGAUUUCGGCUCAAAAAUUUGUGGUUAAAACCCACAAUUGCUUU
rnacentral:tRNA from 2 species